rnacentral:rRNA from 1 species
AGCUUGCUCUUCGAUUCAGCGGCGGACGGGUGAGUAAUGCCUAGGAAUCUGCCUGGUAGUGGGGGACAACGUUUCGAAAGGAACGCUAAUACCGCAUACGUCCUACGGGAGAAAGCAGGGGACCUUCGGGCCUUGCGCUAUCAGAUGAGCCUAGGUCGGAUUAGCUAGUUGGUGAGGUAAUGGCUCACCAAGGCGACGAUCCGUAACUGGUCUGAGAGGAUGAUCAGUCACACUGGAACUGAGACACGGUCCAGACUCCUACGGGAGGCAGCAGUGGGGAAUAUUGGACAAUGGGCGAAAGCCUGAUCCAGCCAUGCCGCGUGUGUGAAGAAGGUCUUCGGAUUGUAAAGCACUUUAAGUUGGGAGGAAGGGCAUUAACCUAAUACGUUAGUGUUUUGACGUUACCGACAGAAUAAGCACCGGCUAACUCUGUGCCAGCAGCCGC